GGUUGAGACGGCCUCGCUCGGCGCUUCAGGGACGUGCGCCGGCCCUCAGCGUAGUUGUAGCAUCAGUCCUCUCCACCCUUUUGGUUUUGUUCUAUUACUCUUUUUUUAAGUCUUCUUUUCUCUCACGUGCGCUUCUUCCGGACUCGUGACUGGCGCUGUAGUGCUGGAUGAGCUUUUGUCGUGUAGCUCAUUCACGAGCAGAACCCAACUGGUUUUGUGUAGUAAACAGAAUCGCGUCGUUCCCUACAGGCUGUUGGUGGGGUUUGCAGUCACUGAUGGGGCCUCCUUAGUGCUCAGUAGUACAGAGUCAGUAACAGCCAGUCAAUUUUGUAUACCCAUGCAAAUAGCCAGCAACCACUGUGUUUAAAAUCGAGGAGGUCUGCUUGAAUUCAGGGAUCCAGGCUGUGAUAUUUUACUUCUAGAGUUUGGUAUUCGCUAUGCAGAAUUCUCCAGAAGUACAAAAGGAGAAGCCAUCAAGUAGGCAAGGCUGUAGCAUAAGAUGUUGCUGAGACCUGCUGUUGUCCCAUGGACCUCACUGCACACUCUCUUCUUCAGUUUGCCAGAAAAAUCUACCUGCAGGGUACAGCACGGAGUCAAAUCAACUGAAAAUUUUAGCAUUUUGCAUUUUUAACACCAUUUUAUGUAGUUUCAAGUAUCAAGUGAACUGGACUUCAAUGUGAUAUCAUGAUGUUCAUUCUCUGCUUGGUCCUUGUCAUCUUCUAAGUCAAAUUCACACGUAAGUUCAAAAGUUUUUACUUCAAACAGCAAAAUCACCACUGUAAGCUUCAGAAGGCUUUUGUCUUGUACAGUUUUGUCUUGUACAUUUUGAAGAUCAGCAGGAUCCUUCACUGAGAAGUAUGAAGUACAUCAGGAGAGAAGAUCAUGUUCAUCGUGUUCAGCAGCUGAAGAGUUUUCUAAACUCAAUUAGUGCAAGAAUGCUGUGACCAAUGGAAAAAUGUUUGAUGCUUGCCAGAAAGCAAAUCUCCCCAGCUCUUGAAAAUAGCGUUCUGAAAACAAUCUGUUCAGCAGUGACCACGUGCUGCCACUGCAGAGGCGGACAAGUGCUUGAAGGUGGCCCACAAUCUAAAGUAUUGGACAUAGCUGUUGGUUUCUUCAAAUACAGCAUGUGGGCGUCUGAAGGAGUACUCCAGCUAGUAAGCAUCGUGACUGAACCUGAGGAAAUUAAUCCUGAGGCUUUAUAAAAUUUACUUUUCAAACUACUUGAUAAACAGCAAGCAGAGGAGCACCUGAUUCCAAAAGUAAAGACCUGCCAAAUCUUCCAGCUAGAGCAAGGAUAAUGUAUGACUGCAAUCUGUUUACCAAGAUGUGAUAAAGUCAUCUGAAAAACAUGGCGUCGGAAACCUCACAUUUGGUUUGGAUACAUAUCUUAAACACAAUGUAAGAGGAGACAUUGCUUUUUCCAUUUCCUUAUUUAACACCCAAGAAAUAUGAAAAUUAUUUUAAAUUAUUGUUCUGUGCCUUCUCCCUCUGGGAUAAACAAAGAUCACUGACAACAAACCCAGAAGAUAAUUUACUAUGAGUGCAUUUUAUAGUCACAUAUGUGUGACACUGGAAGACAAAAAUUCUGUUUGAAGAAGGCACCAGAUAGAAACAAACAAAUGUGGAUAAUUCAGCAUGCAGACAAGUACCUUUUACUUAAGCUUUCAUAUGUGCAUUUAUAGCUGUGUAAGAACAUCCCAUCCUGAAAAACCUAUCUUAUUGCUGACAGUAAUUUGUCUUACUAAUGGUUUCUCAGUCUAAAGGCUGGAUGGGAAGGAACUGGUGCAGAGCCCAAAUGGCAAAAGCCAAAAGCUGCUUGUUUCUGAAGGACUAAAACUUGGCAUAAUGUCAAACAGCAUUCUGGCAGAAGCUCAACUUCUCUCACCUGUAUGUAACUUCAGUUUUCCAGCUAGAUGAAGAUGAACUAAGGGAAAAGGGCUUUCAUCUCAUUCUGUUUCAUUGCAUGAGGGCAAUGGAUUCUAUGGACAGAACUGUUUUUGUAUCUUUGGUUAUAUUAAUAUAAAUAUCAUAGUUUAU
ensembl:lncRNA